UCAUAACGGAGGAAGGUGGGAUGACGUCAAGUCAGCAUGGCCUCUAUAUCCUGGGCUACACACACGCUACAAUGGGAAGGGACAAUAGGUUGCGAAGCCGCGAGGCGGAGCCAAUCCAGCAAAACUUCCCUCAGUUCAGAUUGCAGGCUGCAACCCGCCUGCAUGAAGUUGGAGUUGCUAGUAAACGCAGGUCAGCCAUACUGCGUUGAAUACGUUCCCGGGGCUU
rnacentral:rRNA from 1 species